GACGAACGCUGGCGGCGUGCUUAACACAUGCAAGUCGAACGGAAAGGCCCUGCUUUUGUGGGGUGCUCGAGUGGCGAACGGGUGAGUAACACGUGAGUAACCUGCCCUUGACUUUGGGAUAACUUCAGGAAACUGGGGCUAAUACCGGAUAGGAGCUCCUGCUGCAUGGUGGGGGUUGGAAAGUUUCGGCGGUUGGGGAUGGACUCGCGGCUUAUCAGCUUGUUGGUGGGGUAGUGGCUUACCAAGGCUUUGACGGGUAGCCGGCCUGAGAGGGUGAACGGCCACAUUGGGACUGAGAUACGGCCCAGAGUGCUACGGGAGGCAGUAGUGGGGAAUAUUGCCCAAUGGGCGGAAGCCUGAUGAAGCAACGCCGCGUGCGGGAUGACGGCUUUCGGGUUGUAAAAAGCUUUAGCCUGUGACGAAGCGUGAGUGACGGUAAUGGGUAAAGAAGCACCGGCUAACUACGUG
rnacentral:rRNA from 1 species